rnacentral:rRNA from 1 species
AGGAUGAACGCUGGCGGCGUGCCUAAUACAUGCAAGUCGAGCGAACAGAUAAGGAGCUUGCUCCUUUGACGUUAGCGGCGGACGGGUGAGUAACACGUGGGUAACCUACCUAUAAGACUGGAAUAACUCCGGGAAACCGGGGCUAAUGCCGGAUAACAUUUAGAACCGCAUGGUUCUAAAGUGAAAGAUGGUUUUGCUAUCACUUAUAGAUGGACCCGCGCCGUAUUAGCUAGUUGGUAAGGUAACGGCUUACCAAGGCAACGAUACGUAGCCGACCUGAGAGGGUGAUCGGCCACACUGGAACUGAGACACGGUCCAGACUCCUACGGGAGGCAGCAGUAGGGAAUCUUCCGCAAUGGGCGAAAGCCUGACGGAGCAACGCCGCGUGAGUGAUGAAGGUCUUCGGAUCGUAAAACUCUGUUAUUAGGGAAGAACAAAUGUGUAAGUAACUGUGCACGUCUUGACGGUACCUAAUCAGAAAGCCACGGCUAACUACGUGCCAGCAG